rnacentral:rRNA from 1 species
GACGAACGCUGGCGGCGUGCCUAAUACAUGCAAGUAGAACGCAGUUGCGAACGGGUGAGUAACGCGUAGGUAACUGCCUGGUAGCGGGGGAUAACUAUUGGAAACGAUAGCUAAUACCGCAUACUACCAGAUGGACCUGCGUUGUAUUAGCUAGUUGGUGGGGUAACGGCUCACCAAGGCAACGAUACAUAGCCGACCUGGGAGGGGGAUCGGGCACAAGGGGACUGGGACACGGCCCAGACUUCUACGGGGGGGAAGAGGAGGGGAUCUUCGGCAAUGGACGGAAGGCUGAACGAGCAACGCCGCGUGAGUGAAGAAGGGUUUCGGAUUGUAAAGCUCUGUUGUAAGGGAAGCGGUAUCUUACCAGAAAGGGACGGCUAACUACGUGCCAGCAGCCGCGGUAAUUC